ACCUCAUUUUUUUUUAUUCAUUCUUUUUUUCUUUCUUCUCUCUCUCCCUCUCAGCAGAGCACUCCCCCAUGCUUGUUGCUGUUUUUUUUUUCUUUCCAUUCUAUUUGCUUCUUCUCUCUCUAUAAUACUCAAACCCUCAGCCCCUUCGAAAUGAAUUUAACAUCCUUACAAGCAUAAUUGUUCAUACUCCUACAAAUUCUCUUGGUUAGGAUUUCCUACAAAUUCUCUUGAUUAUGAUUUUUGAGUUAGGGUUUGUGUUCUAGGGAAAAGGGUAUCAAUCUCCUAAGAGUUGUUUACUGAGAGUCAUUGAGGUAAAUGCACAACUCUAAUCGUAGUAUGAAUUCAUAGAAAAAUAUAGUUUUAUUUCAAAAUCUUAUUUUGUGCUUAGAGUAUAUAUAUUUAAAUGAUUUUAUGGUUUCUUAGAGUUAGCUAAACUUUAGAAUAAAUUUUUCUAAAGUCUUGGAAAUAUUUUUGAUACUCAAAUUUGUCAGCUGAGACCCUACCGGUUACUCUGAGAGUUGUUGGAGAGCAAAUUUAGAUGAUUCUCUGUAGUUGUGAGUUGAAGACGGUCAUCGUCAUAUUUUUUUUAUAAUGCUAUUAUUAUUAUUUUACUUGUUUUAUAUACUAAAGUAUUUAUUGAAAAAAUUGGGGAACACAACCUUUGAAAUUUAUCUCGGUUUCGUCAAUUAUUUAAUUUAAUGGUCGUUGUUAUAUAAUAUAUUAUUAGUUUGAUUUACGUAUAAGUUAAAGUAUUUAAAUAUUAAAUUGUUAUGUGAUUGAGUAUGUUUUCCAUGAAUUACGAUGAAAUGGUUUUAAAUAUGUGUUUAGAGAAAUCGUUGUCAUAAUUAUUAAAUCGUUAACUGCGUUAGGUGCACCUAGUUACCUCGUUUUGAUUAGAAAGAGUUACCCGUUAGAUGGAGCCGCCCCUAUGAAAAAUGUCAUUCGUAGGAGGAGAAGGCUAUAAACAAGAUGUAAGCUCCCUAAUUGAUAUGUGAUGAUGCCUUGCAGAAUUGAGAGGAAAGGGAUAUUCGUUAGAUGGAGCCACCCCUAAGAAAAAUGUCACCCUUAAGAGGAAAGGGCUAUCAAUGAGAUGAAGCUGCCUCUUGGUUCUAAAAAAAUUGUAUUGUUACUUGUUUGAUUUUUAUGAUGAUUUUAAGGUUGUUCAUUUUGAUUUCGCUUCAUUAUUAAUUGGAUUUUUAAUAUUUCUGUUCGAACGGUUAAAUUAUAAGUUUAAUGACUAUAUAUGUGUAUAUAUUUAAAUUUAGAAUUUUCUAGAUUUUUAAGUAAUAUUGUUUAACAUAAUUGCCGUCAAAUUGUAAAGCAGUUAUUCGCGUCUUUUGUGUUUCCCUUCAAAUUGAUGGUGGUUGUUGUCUCCUCACUAAGUCUUUGUGACUUACCCUUUUAUGUUGUUUAUUUUUUUCAGAUUCGCCGGCAGCUGAGUAGAACUAUGUUAGUAGAUUCGAUUCUCGACUAUAUUUAUUUUUUUAGUAGGCCUCUUUGAUCGAAGACCAUUUUUUUGUAACGUUUGUUUAGUCUGAUGUAAAUUGCAGCUAUUUUGAAGUCUACAAAGUCUAUUUUUAUUAGAAGUGUAUUAAGUAAAUGUGAUAAUGUUAUUUGAAUUAUGACUGAAAUAAUUAAUUACAUUUUAAACGUCAGUGUUAAAAC
rnacentral:lncRNA from 1 species